UCCCUGUAAGUGCAGGUUUGGAACUAGGUGUAGGACAUUAGGCCUAAAGUUUGGAAACUGUGCUCCUUUCAUUUUGUUCCAAUCCCAGCUUUGCUGGGUGAGUCAGAGAAAGGCUGGCAAGCAGCCGUGUGAGAGACUACCUCACAGGAGAUAAGGGAACACCGAAUACCUCUAGCACCUUGGUUUCAUCAUUACUUAGAAUGAAAUUGCAGUGCAGGAGCCUACCCCAGCUUUUCCAUGGGCUGACUUCUUGCAGGACUCUGCUGUUAAUUAGGUUUGCAGGGCAGGAUAGAAGAGAGAAUUUAUUGAAGGCUCCAGAUAUGGAGAUUGAGGAAUUUGAAUUUGGUCUGCAGGAAAAAGGGAAGAAAAAUAUGAGUGAGAAAUUAUUGUGCUAGAAAGAUUGCUAUGCAGAGCCACAUAAGACUGCCAGUGGAAGAUAAAAAGACAAAACACAAAGUAAAACUGGCAUGUAAGCAACUCAGAAGAGGAAGGGAGAAUUAUUUUGCUUCAUUUAAGAAGAGUUUUUGGGGCAAGGAUCAUGCUUUUUUACCCUUUCCUACCUAGAUUCUUCAGUGUUUGGACAAAUGAUGUGUAUUCAACAAUGAAAUUGUGCUACUAUCUUGGAGCUGCUUGGACAAGCUAGCCACACAUCCUCUGAACCAAAAAAGAAGAAGGCAGACAAAUGGCAAAGACUCCACUGUGACAGUAAGGUUGUCUGCAGAAGGAGAAAAUACUUUAAUGGGGAAGGCAGAGAGCAGUUUAAACUGAUGCUCAUUGAAGCCAUCUUCCUAUGCAAACCUCUGCUUCCUUUCUCAAAUCCAGAAUCAGACAGAGAAGACAUCCUCUACCUUGAGACAUGAGGAAUCAAAUAGUGACUCUCAUUCCUUGUUGCCAGGUGGGCUGGGGGAAAACAGAAGUGUGAGAAACUGACGAUUGUAAGAAAGAGGAAAUGCCAUUUAUUCAUUUAUUAAAAAAUCGAACAAUGA